AGAUUGAAAAAUAAAAAGAUUAAUUAAAUUCGAAAUUAAUUUAAUAAAUUAAAAAAAAGCUAAUUAUUGAAUUUAAUUAUUAGAACUCAUCUUUUGAUAAUUAAUUAGAUAUUAAAUAUAUAAUUAUUAUUAAAUAAUUAUCACACCCCAAAGCCCAAAUCCAAGGUUGAGCACAAUUUUGCUCUCAAUGGUUUAUCACUCCAAUCAUUUUAUAAGAGGUACAAAGUCUUAUAAAGUGAAGGAAUCUUUUGGUGGUGACUAAUGUGAGACAAUGAGUUAGAAUGAUAUCUCUACUCAAAAACUCCAACACACGUCAAUUAAUGAGUUUUCUGAUUGGAUGUUGAUUAUACUAAUCACUUGCCACAUCAUAUAGUAUACUAAUGUGAUCUUCCUAGCAUUAUUCAUUCACAAAUAGGUUUCUAUUUUGAUGUACAAGGUUUAUAGACGAACUAAACAAUUUGUACAAGUUUUAGAUGAAACAAUUAAUUGCCAUGAAGAGUCGGGAAAGAAGGUGUUCGUGGCUAGAAUUUCCGUUGAGGAUGUUUCCUAGCGGACGAGCACACAGCUCCCCGAGAGGUUGGCGCCAAUUGAUGCUUUCUGUCUAGCUUCUGCUCACUGGCGGGCUUGUCGGGCAAAUCUUGUCGAGCAAGGCUUGUCGGGCAAAGCUGAAAGAGAAUGACAUGGUUAACUUUGAAAGGUGCCAUUGUAGGGCCUUAGGUGUAGGCCUUGAGGCUCACAAUCAAGAUUAACUUUUAGGUGUUCAGGCGUGCCACUGCCAUCUUUAGCAUAGUAGAUGUAAAACAGAUGUUGAGUUUUAAUUGUAUAUAUACCUGAGAGGCUGUUUUAGUUAUGAAAGGUGCCUUUGUGGGGCCUCAGGUGUAGGCCUUGAUGCUCUCAAUCAAUAACUAACCCAGUACUCGAACAUAUAAUGUUUGUUUCAUUAAUUGCAGAAGUGUUAUGACUAUUAUACUUCUAAUUACCCAAGCCCAAAGAGCAGAAUGAAUCCAAAUAGGUGCCUUUGUAGGGCCUUAGGUGUAGGCCUUGAAGCUUCCCAUCAGAAUUACUUCUAUACUCAAACGUUCUACAAUAAUCAUAAUAUAACAAAAAUAAAACUAAGAAAUAGGUCGAUUACUUGCGCCCCAAGUAACUUCGGACUUCUUGUUAUCAAAGGUUGUCGUGGAUGGGUUAAGUCCACAUAAGGUUCUUUUUUAUGCCUUGAGACCAAGGACUUUUGAAUGAUCAAUCUUACAUGCCCGAGGGUUUAGAACUUAGAUCUGAUUUAAACUGUGACUACAUAUUCCAAUCGGAUUCAAGCACUGAGGAGUCUUUUAAUCAUCAACUUGCUAGAACUAACUUGGAUACAAAUGGAAGUAUACAACAUAUUACUAGACUUAUGAAUGAAAAGACAAAAACAAAGAGGGUCGGGCAAGGUUUCACCUUGUCGGGCAAGACUGGUCGUCUUGCAACUUCCUAUCUUUGUGAUUUAUAGAGGGGCUUGAGAGCUUAGAAAGAGGGAUAGGGAGAUGAGUUUACAGAAGGAAAUCGAUACUACAGUAAGAUUUAGACAAGGUAACAGAGCUUUUACAAAGGCUUUUGGUGAGGGUUGAUCCCGAAAGGGAUGAAGGCUUGGGCUGACUACAGCUUCAUUGAAAGCAAAUCUGGCUUGAGCAGAGUUUGUGCUUGUAUUUGUUUGGCUGUUUGAGUGUCCUCAUCUCUGAUUUCUCUUUCUUCUUUUAUAGACAGUUUGGCUUGGCCUCCUGUAGCUUUAAUCUUGCCCGAAUGCAGCUUGAAGGGCAAUGACUCAUCAGUUUUUUACUUAUACUGCCACUGUAAAGUGCUUUUGGGCUAAUUAGCUGGCUGGUCUACACCACUUAGUCUCUAGGUAGGUGAACAAGUGGUUCAAAUGAUCUGCACCUAGUCGGGAAAAUGCCUUUUCUACCUUCUGGGUUUUUGCUGGGCUUCGGGCUCCUUUCCUCCUAGUCCUUCUUUUGGGCCGACUCCCUUUUUAGCUCAAAGUUCAAGUUUUAACCCAAACAAAAGGAACGUAUAAUUAAGUGGUUACAUGCUGUGGGUAGGUUUAUUGUUGAAUUUUGGAGACUUUAGGUUCCUCUGUGAUAGAAGAUGAAGUCUUGACUAUCACGGAGAUAUGUCUCCAUGUUCCCUUACGGAAGCUUGGGUAAGAAGAGAUUUUCAAGUUGUACGAAUAUUUGAGACCAGGUUAUUAAGAAGUGGAUUACAAAAUGUUAGCUGGAGGAUAUUAGAAAUGCGAAAAAUGCCUUCUAGGUUAUGUUUGGGUGAGUGAUUUAAAAAAUUCAGGGGAUUGAGGGAAGGAAAUUUUGUGAAAAACAUGUUCAUUUAAGCAACAUCUAUAGCAUGCAAUUAACAAAUUAAAGGCGGAAUCAUGCUUGCAUGCACUCAAAACAAAACAUUACCCAUAAAAUUCAAAGCCUAGUAGUUAGGUGAACCAAGACUCAACUCAAAAGAAAGUGAGUUGAGAAAUUUAUACCUUUGU
rnacentral:lncRNA from 1 species